UGGCUCAGAUUGAACGCUGGCGGCAGGCUUAACACAUGCAAGUCGAACGAUGACUMUCUAGCUUGCUAGAGAAGAUUAGUGGCGGACGGGUGAGUAACAUUUAGGAAUCUGCCUAGUAGUGGGGGAUAGCUCGGGGAAACUCGAAUUAAUACCGCAUACGACCUACGGGUGAAAGGGGGCGCAAGCUCUUGCUAUUAGAUGAGCCUAAAUCAGAUUAGCUAGUUGGUGGGGUAAAGGCCCACCAAGGCGACGAUCUGUAACUGGUCUGAGAGGAUGAUCAGUCACACCGGAACUGAGACACGGUCCGGACUCCUACGGGAGGCAGCAGUGGGGAAUAUUGGACAAUGGGGGCAACCCUGAUCCAGCCAUGCCGCGUGUGUGAAGAAGGCCUUUUGGUUGUAAAGCACUUUAAGCAGGGAGGAGAGGCUAAUGGUUAAUAC
rnacentral:rRNA from 1 species